UACGUAGGGUGCAAGCGUUGUCCGGAAUUAUUGGGCGUAAAGAGCUCGUAGGCGGUCUGUCGCGUCUGCUGUGAAAAUCCAGGGCUCAACCCUGGACCUGCAGUGGGUACGGGCAGACUAGAGUGCGGUAGGGGAGAUCGGAAUUCCUGGUGUAGCGGUGAAAUGCGCAGAUAUCAGGAGGAACACCGGUGGCGAAGGCGGAUCUCUGGGCCAUAACUGACGCUGAGGAGCGAAAGCAUGGGGAGCGAACAGG
rnacentral:rRNA from 1 species